GACAGAGGGGGCAAGCGUUGCUCGGAAUUACUGGGCGUAAAGGGCGCGUAGGCGGGAUGGUAAGUCGGUCGUGAAAUCCCUCGGCUCAACCGAGGAACGUCGAUCGAUACUACCGUUCUUGAGGAUUGCAGAGGAGACUGGAAUUCCCGGUGUAGCGGUGAAAUGUGUAGAGAUCGGGAGGAACACCGGUGGCGAAGGCGGCAUCCUGGACCGGCAUUGACGCUGAGGAGCGAAAGCUAGGGGAGCAAACGGG
rnacentral:rRNA from 1 species